GUGCUCACUUCAGCAGCACAUACACUAAAAUUGGUAUGAUAGAGAAGUUAGCGUGUCCCCUGUGCAAGGAUGACAUGCAAAUUUAUGAAACAUUUCAUAUUUUU
ensembl:snRNA U6 U6 spliceosomal RNA